rnacentral:lncRNA from 1 species
CUGAGUUGGUUUGCUUACCUCAACGGUUUGUCCCUGUUUGGCGUGUGGCUCUGUUCAUAGGUCUGUAACUGUGUCUUUGCCCGUCAGUCUUCCUGUGACCCUGUGCUUUUCUCUCUUUCUCUCUCUCUCUCUGUCCCUGUCUCUGUCCCUCUGUCCCUGAGUGAUGUGAGGCCGGGCUGGGGGCAGUCGCAGCCGCGUCCUCUCUUGCCCUCAUUGGUUCGCAGCCGCUCCCCCGGGCAGCCGCCGCCAGUCCCGCCCCUCCCCCGAACCCCCGCCCGGGACACGAGCGCGCUCAGAGCCGCCAGAAAGCUCAGUCUCCUGCUCAAAACAGGAGCGCAGCAGCCGGAGGGAGUGGGGACAAGCUCGCUGAACACUGGGCGUCUCGACAGGGACCAGAGCCUGCAGGACUGUUCCGAGACGCUGCGGUGGCGGCGGCGCCGGAGGACGCGGAGGACUCCCUGGCCACCCGCCCUCCGUGCGCUCUGCCACCGGGCGCUCAGCAGAGACCCCGGGCUGCGGCUGCACUUGCUGAGUGCCUCUCCCCGCCGCCGCAGCCCAGAGGCGCCCAGCACCUGGAGCUCACUGGAGCUGAGGGUCCGAGCUGAGCGGGCUGUUGUAAAGCCGAAAGGCGAGUCAGUGACUGGGACCUCUGUCCUGGUGGCGACGGAGAGAAACAGUGAGCCCGAGGGGCGCGGGCACAGAACUGUCCAGCUCCGAGAACUGGGGUCCGCCAGCCGGCGGGGAAAGCAGCUGAGCGCGGAGGCGAGUGAGCGGACGCGUCCCGGGGUCUUUGCAGUCCCCGCCGGCCCCAAGGCACCGACUCUCGCUGCGCCAUUCGGCCUUCGCCGCGCUGCCCCACGACCGCUCGCUGCGCGACGCCCGCGCGCCCUGGAAGACGCGGCCGGUGUAGCUUGGGACUGAGCCACGGCCGCCGGGCGCCCCGUCCCGACCUAGCCAAGAGCAGCCAGCUUGAGCCUGGGGCAGGAACCGCAAGCGUGCAACUAGCCUGGAGCUACCCGUCUGGACUCGCAGGCCCUGUGGCUGUUUCCCACAGCUGCUACGGCCUCUCUUGCUCCUUGACACCGAGGAGGACCCCACUAGGAUCCGAGCGUCGUGAACUCACCUGAACUUUGGAAGGUUGGCACUGGGGGGCCGCAUCCCCCUGGGAAAUGACUGAACGCGGGGUUUCAGUGGGUCCCGCCUGGGUCUAAGGACCCAGUUUCUUCUGUGAGCACGGGCAGUGGGAGGCCGGUGGAAAGGCGCAGGGGCCCACCUACGCGUCUCACAUCUUCAGGGGCGCAUUUCUACAAUAAAAACUCACCCAAUUAGACCUAGCGCUGAGAACGUGCUG